rnacentral:tRNA from 1 species
UAAGGAUUUAAGUUAAACAAACUAGAAACCUUCAAAGUUUCAAAUAAAGAAUUAUCUUUAAGCCUUAG